UACGUAGGGUGCAAGCGUUGUCCGGAAUUAUUGGGCGUAAAGAGCUUGUAGGCGGUUUGUCGCGUCUGCGUGUGAAAUUUCGGGGCGUCAACCCGAACUUGCAGUGGGUACGGGCAGACUAGAGUGUGGUAGGGGAGACUGGAAUUCCUGGUGUAGGCGGUGAAAUGCGCAGAUAUGGAGGAAUACCGAUGGCGAAGGCGAGGUCUCUGGGCUAGUAACUGACGCUCAUGCACGAAAGCGUGGGGAGCAAACAGG
rnacentral:rRNA from 1 species